GACGAACGCUGGCGGCGUGCCUUACACAUGCAAGUCGAACGGGGGUAGCAAUACCCUAGUGGCGGACGGGUGAGUAAUGUAUCGGAACGUGCCCUUGAGUGGGGGAUAACCAGUCGAAAGAUUGGCUAAUACCGCAUACGAUCUACGGAUGAAGGUGGGGGACCUUAGGGCCUCAUGCUCGUGGAGCGGCCGAUAUCUGAUUAGCUAGUUGGUGGGGUAAAGGCCUACCAAGGCGACGAUCAGUAGCUGGUCUGAGAGGACGAUCAGCCACACGGGGACUGAGACACGGCCCAGACUCCUACGGGAGGCAGCAGUGGGGAAUUUUGGACAAUGGGGGAAACCCUGAUCCAGCGAUGCCGCGUGAGUGAAGAAGGCCUUCGGGUUGUAAAGCUCUUUUGUCAGGGAAGAAGAUGCUAUGGCUAAUAUCCAUGGUUGAUGACGGUACCUGAAGAAUAAGCACCGGCUAACUACGUGCCAGCCGCCGCAGUAA
rnacentral:rRNA from 1 species